AUCGAACGCUGGCGGCAGGCCUAAUACAUGCAAGUCGAGCGAGCGGCGGACGGGUGAGUAAUGUCUGGGAAACCGCCUGAUGGAGGGGGAUAACUACUGGAAACGGUAUCUAAUACCGCAUACCAUCAGAUUUGCCCAGUCGGGAUUAGCUAGUGGGUGGGGUAACGGCUCACCUAGGCGAGGAUCCCUAGCUGGUCUGAGAGGAUGACCAGCCACACUGGAACUGAGACACGGUCCAGACUCCUACGGGAGGCAGCAGUAGGGAAUAUUGCACAAUGGACGCAAGCCUGAUGGAGCAAUGCCGCGUGAGUGAAGAAGGCUUUCGGGUUGUAAAGCACUGUCGGCGGGGAGGCGUUACCCGAAGAGAAAGCAACGGCUAACUCCGUGCCAGCAGCCGCGGUAAUAC
rnacentral:rRNA from 1 species